CUGUCACAUCCAGCAACCUUAACUCCUUGAGUUCUCCUAUUUCAUCAGGUAAUUCUUCGAUGGAUAAGCACCACAUAAGACCAAGAAUCUUAAGUCCCUGCAGCUUUCUCAACCAAAUGAGGUCCUUGCAUUCGCACUCCAUCAACACCAUCGAUUGAAGUUUCGUUGAGAGUUCGAGUGAUUGCAAUGACAAACACCCUCCCUUCACAGACAAAACUUCAAUUUCUUUCAUCCCUUCAAAAAACCUCUCUUCCAUAAUCGAUCUGCUCUCCCUUCUUUACUCUUUUCUUUAAUUUUCAAACCUAACAUAUCUGCCAGUCGAUCCUGGAUGUCUGUGGCAUUUGGAUUCUGCGACACCGUAGCCAUCAAAACUUCAUCAAACAGCUGCAACUCUUUGGCUCUCCUGCCUACUUCUUUCACCAGGGUGGUUUUACCCACCCCUUCCAUGCCGUACAGUCCGAUCAUAUUGACGUUGUCAUCUUUGAGAGCUUUCAUAAUCUGUUCCAAAGCUUCUUUUGACGAUUCUGAGGGCCUGAAAUCCUUUGAUGGAAGAAAUUCUAUGGGCUCAGGAUGAGCUCUGUGGGACACUUUUGUAGGCUUUUUUUCUAAAUGUUCUCUGAAAGUCUCCGACUUCUUGGCCAGUACCUUGCUUAACUUGAAUUGUCGCAUGCAGUUUGGACACCAAGUGAAGCAUUUGCCAUUUUUUCCUAUUUCAUGUACAAUUUCUUCAGCAUCUACCAGCCACUUUUCGACAUCUUUGUAAAUUUCUUCAGCAUUCCUUUCAGCAGCUUCGACAUCGUCUUGCAGACGUUCUUUUUCCGAGACCAGCUUCUCCUGUUGUUGUUCGAAUUCCUUAACAAAAGUGUUGAAACAGAACAUGUAACGGAACUGCCUUCCUACUGGUUCCACCAUGAGUUCUGCUAUCUUAGAUAUAAUGGAUCCACCCACACUUUCGAUAGCCAUUUUCCACCAGUCUGAAAAUCAGAGAAAUGAGGAUACAGGACGUGAGAGUGAGUCACAACAAGCAGGCGCAGAGAGAAUGGGAAUAGGAAUUUCAUUACCUUAACUUGAGAAAAUAUGUGCGGAAAGUACUGAGAGCUCAAUGAAAUAGCGGGAGGAAGAAGAGGAGAAGGCCUUUAGCUCUGUAUGGAAUCCAGCUUCAAAAGCAACAAGGCAAGGUAUAAAAAUUCUAGCUGACACUUGUGAGUUAAAGCAGUAAUUCCCAUUAAAAAUGCAUUUUGAUGACAUAAUUAAGAUCAAAUAGAGACAGGAAAGGCACGGUUGAGAUAAGUAGAGGGAGAGGUUGUUGGAGGCAGAAAAGGAAAGACUACGAUAAUAUUUUUCUCUAUAUUUUGAGUUUUAGUUGUUAAUAGCCAUGCUCUUGCAAAUAAGGCAGGAAAUAGCGUGUUUGUUUUUUAUUUUUUAAAGUAUUUUUUUAAAAAAUAAAUUUUUGUAUUCUAAAUUAAUUUUUUUAUUUUUAUAUUGCUAUUAAAAAUAUUUUUUAACAAAUAAAAAAAUAUUAUUUUAAUAUAUUUUUAAAAUACAAAUAUAUUUAAAAAAACUACUACUUAUUCAAACACUUAAAAUAAAAAUCUUAAAAUCACAGCAUGAUAAAAGGAGAAGGAAAGGAAUGGGAUAAAGAAGGAAGAAAAUACUAUUUGUUUUUUUACUGUAUCAGAGUGGUUUUUAUAAUUAUAUUUUUUAAUAUUUCUUGUUAUUAUUAUAUAUAUAUAUAUAUAUAUAUAUAAUAUUUUAAUAUGUUUUUAAAUAAAAAAACUAUUUUAAAAAAAUAUGUGUCACAAUACUAAAUUAUACUAUAAAUUAAAAGAUAAAGAGCUUUCUGUUCAUUACUAUUUACCGAGACUUAUUUUAUUGUGGAUGUGGAUAUUAAUAGUGAAUAUUUUUAAAAUUUUCAAUUUGGUAUUUGAAUUAUUAUUUUUUUGCAUAAUUGAAUCUCUUCAUGCUCAAAUUAAAACUCAAUUGCAUUUUUUUUAAGGAUAAGAGUUGAAUUAUAAGAUAGGUGACUAAAAUGAAAAACUCAGUAAAAAUAUGUGGCGACACUGUAAUUGUUUGCAAAGUUCAUUUUAGUCCUGUAUCUUUUAAGAUGUCCCAAUAAUUUCUCAACAUUACAUUUUAUCUAGAAUCUCUGAUUAUGCUCUAGGGACUAUAUUGAAAUUUUCAUAAAUUGAGAAAUCAAACUAAAAUUUCAUCACCUUCAAUCUCAAACCUAGAAUUUUCACAUAUCACCUGCUGAUAUAACAAAAUUUCGAACUCAAAUUCACCAUUUAAACAACCCAUAACUCAAAAUCAUCAUUUUUACUUAAAAACUUUUAAAAUCAACUAAAUAACUCAUUGUCCAUAACAAUGAGCACAUAAUAUUCAAAUCAAUUCAUCAAUCAAACCCAAAACACAAUCUUCAAAACCCUAAUAUUCAACAAAACAGAAAAUUAAAGCUAAGAAAAACACAUUUAUCCACAUCAAAGUGUAAAUAUUCUUACAUUUUAAUUUAUUUUCUCUAACUCUCUUAUCCUUUCUUUAUCUUUUCCUAGUUUCUCUUUUUUUUCUUUCACUCUCACGGUUCUCUAUAAGAUUUCAGAUCUAUCUUUUUUAUUAUUAUUUAUAUUUUGAACUCUUUAUUCAAUUACUACAAUACCGUUCAUUCAUUUAUACCUACUUCUAAGCCUCCAUGGGUUUUGUUGUCUUUUUCUAUUCUUUUUUAUUUUCAAAUCAUUACAAUAAAAUUGUUUUCUUUUCAUUAAGCUGCUAAUUUAUGCAGCUUUAGCUCUUGUUCUCUUUUCAUGUUUAGCAACUCUGAUCUGUUUCUUUUCUUUACAUGAUAUAAGGGCAGGUUCUUACCUCUUGAAGUCUGCUGGAUAAACCUAUAAGCAGAAGAUCCUGAAGCGAUCCCAAAUCACAGCUUCAAUCCCCACCACAACCAAUCUCCUCUUUCCCGUAGUCUGUCGUCCUCAAUUGGGAAAUGAUCUCAAAAAAUCACUUGAUGCAACAAGUAGGGUAGAGAAAUAUAAGACUUCAACAAAGAAUCAAACUCAAAAAAGUUGAAGUAAUUGUCUAUGAGAAGCAUUUCUGUGUCACACACUCAAGUAAUAUGAUUGACCUAUUACAUUAUACAAAUUAAUAAUAAUAAUAAUAAUAAUAAUAAUAAUAAUAAUAAAAGAACUAGGUUUUUGAUGGCAUCCAGAGUGCUGUUACUUUCAAACAAAGAGGCUUGUGCAUGCGGUGUUACGCUGUUCAUGUACGCUAAGAUCUCCUAUGAAUACAAUAAUAUAAUCAUAAAAUUGUAUUAGUUUUAUUAAGCUGUUAAUUUAUGCAGCUUUAGCUCAUGUUCUCUCUUCUUGUCUUGCUAUUCUGAUUUUAUCUUUUUCUUCGCAUGAUAUAAGAGCAGGUUCUUACCUCUUGAAGUCUGCUUCAAUCCCCGUAGUCUUCCGUCCUCAAUUGGGAAAUGAUCCAAAAUCAACAACUGGUCCGGAGAUAGUUUGAGUGAAAAGAAACGGCUGAAAGAUGAUAUGUGAAGGUUAUGGUGAGAAAUUAGAUGACAAACUUACUUUGUCCUACUAAUGCUUUUGCUUUCAUUGUUUCCAUAGCAAUGUCUCAUCUUUUGAUAUGGUGGUACAAGAUACACCAUGGUAUGGUGGUCUUGCAGGAAAUGUCUUAGCUUUUGAUAUGGUGGUACAAGAUAUCCAUGAUCAGUUUUCGAAAGAUUCGAGUCUCCGUUCUAGUUCAGGUUGGAAGCUAGGCCGAAAGCUAAGAUUCUUUUAUUAGUGGUUGGUGUGGAUGAGUAUUGCAAGAAUGGACUCAAAGGAUCAGCUAAUCCGCAUAAUUAAACUACUAGGAAAUUCAAGGAAAGUUAACAAUAGCAUUGAUUCGAUCAAGGGGAUCCGGUGUCUAGAGAGGACCUUGCCGUUAAGGAAAUAACCAUAAAAACUAUGGAGCCCACUAUUUAUUAAUCCAUUUCUAUUUACUACUUAUUACUAUUUAUUUAUUUUUAUUAAUUACUAUAUUUUUGUUUGUGUACCAAUAAAAUUUGAGAUUCCUUUAAUUUUUUAGGUGCAUGGUCUAGUCUAAUUGGCUGCAUGUACAAAUCAAUUCAAGGGUGUGUAAUCCUUAACUAUCAGGCUAACCUUUACAGGCUUAGCUAGCAAUCGAUAAUUAAUUUUUAAUGAAUUCAAUUUUUAUUUAAAAUAAGGAAAAAGACAUUGGUGAAUAAAUAGUUUCCUUCCUAUUAUAAUUGUUAGACCUUACCAAAGGGCUAAUUUAGAAAAAGACUAACUUAUAGGUCUAACAAUUAAAGAAAAAAGUAUAUUUAGACCUUCCUAUUAUUGGUCAACUUGUGAUUAAGUAGAUCAAUUUAAAUUAAUUAUUCAAAACCCAAAAACAAUCUUCAAAACCCUAAUAUUCAACAAAACAGAAAAUUAAAGCUAAGAAAAACACAUUUAAUAAAUCGUCAUCUCUUUCAGGUUUACCACAGCCUCUUCUCUGGCUCGGAGACACAGAGACAGUGAAGACAUAUUCCAGUUUACCACAGCCUUCUAUGAUGAUAUUUUUUAAUUUUGGGAAGCGAGGAGACUCUGGAACUAUUUCCCUUUCACCAUCCUCCUCUCUGAUAAUAUGCUUCAUAUUCCAGUUUACCACAGCCUUCUAUGAUGAUAUUUUUUAAUUUUGGGAAGCGAGGAGACUCUGGAACUAUUUCCCUUUCACCAUCCUCUUCUCUGAUAAUAUGCUUCAAUUCACCGCAUACACUUAUCUCAAGGAAAUUCAGCUGUGGCAGACUUUGAAGAGUUAGAGACACGAAGACAUAUUCCAGUUUACCACAGUCAGAUAUACGGAGAGUUUUUAAUUUUGGGAAGCAAAGGGACUGUGGAAUUAUUUUCCUUUCACCAUCCUCUUCUCUGAUAAUAUGCUUCAAUUCCCCGCAAUCUCUUAUUUCAAGGUUUUCUAGCUUUGGCAGACUUCGCGCAAGGGACUCUGUGAAGAUAAAUUUCAGUUUGUCGAGAUACCGCAAUUCCAGAUGAGCAAGAUUUUGGAGGCUGACAUGUCCGGUGGGCCCCUUCCAUAUGCAUUUGACCUCAGGUAACCAUCGCAGCUGUAACUUCUUUAAAGAUGACAGCAGCGGCAGCUCCUUCUCCUCACUGCUUCCUUCAUCAGCCUCACCCAAUUCAAAUACCUCUUCCAAUGAUUUGCAUCUGUCAACAGUCACCUCCUUUAGAGUUUUCAAAUUUGUCAACCCCUGCAUCAAAAGAAAUUUUGUGCACUUUUGAACUAUAUAAUUUUGGUAAAUAGAUGAACGAAUUGUCCAUAUAAAACUUCAGCAAAAAAACUUAUCAACAAAAGGAUAGAAGUAGACAUGGCAACAAGGCAUGGGAAUAUGAAAUCAUAAGCUGCAGGACUGAAACAAACAACUCAAUAUUAGCAGAUGAAGGUUUCUCUUCCUAUUCAAAUACUUCCAUUAAUUGAGGGAAGAGCCUCAAUUUCACUCAAACUGGGAAAGCAUAAAUUAAGAUUGAAAAAUCUGGAUAUCAUUUCAUUACAAUAAUUAAUUUCUUAAUUCUUAAGCCCUACAUCAAGAGACAAGGAAUGAUACAGUUAGACAACUCCUUUUAAAUUUAGUGGAUGGCUAGAGGAUUUAUCUCUACUUAUCAAUUACUUCAGUUUCAGAAAUUUGGAAGAGAAAUCAACUUGUAUUGAAUUUGACAAUUUAAAUUAAAAAGGAAAAAAAUUAUUGGAGAAAUAUAGAGGACGUACUUGGAACUGUGCAGACAAAUUUCCCAAUUCUUUGUGGUCAUUGAUUUCUAGAUAUUGCAAAGAAGGCAAUUGGACAGCAAAAUUCUUUGGACCUAAAAAGCUGCAAUUUGAAAGAUACAAUGUUCUUAGCCGAGGGAACUUGAUGAUGAAAUCUGUGGGGAGUGCAUCUUCUUCUCCACUGUAAAAUAUUUGCUUUAAAUUGUCAGCACCACCAAUCGUCAUCUGUUCCAGGUUCGGAAGGUUCGGAGACACGGAGACAGUGAAGACAUAUUCCAGUUUACCACAGCCUUCUAUGAAGAUUUUUUUUAAUUGUGGGAAGCGAGGAGACUCUGGAAUUAUUUCCCUUUCACCAUCCUCUUCUCUGAUAAUAUGCUUCAAUUCACCGCAAAAUUGUAUCACAAGGGUUUCCAGCUUUAGCAGGCUUCGAGCGAGGGACGUUGUGAAGAUAAAUGUCAGUUUGUCCAGAACAUACAAUUCCAGAACAACAAGACUUUGGAGGCUGACAUGUCCGGUGGGCCCCUUCCAUAUGCAUUUGAGCUCGGGUAACCUUGACAGCUGUAACUCCGUUAAAGAUGACAGCAGCGGCAGCUCCUUCUCCUCAUUGCUUCCUUCAUCAGCCUCACCCAAUUCAAAUACCUCUUCCAAUGAUUCGCAGUCCUUAAUUUCCGCACUCUUUAGAUUUUUUAAACCUUGCCGCAAUCUUGCUGGAAACAGAGUGAAAACAUCCCCACAAUCCCACACUUCUACAAAUUCUAAUUUAUGUAAAAACAAUUGCUCAAAUAUCUUCGCAUUUAAGCAAGCUAACUGGAAAACCAAUCUUGUCGAGGUUGGGUAUCCAUAAUUGGGUAACGCAAACCGAUUCCCUAAUAUUAUAUCAAAUUUGCGCAAGCUAACUGGAAAAACAAAAUCUCUGGGAAUGCAUUCAACCUUCGGUAUCGUCAAUGAUAAUACGGCUAACUGAGACAACGAAUUUAGUUCUGUUAGGCUUGCAUUCAUUCCUCCUGUGCUGUCACAUCCAACAACAUCCCAUCCCCGAAAGCUGCAAUACCCGAUCAACAGCUCUUCUAACUUCUUCAACCUUCCAAUCAAAUUCACAGGGAUCCUUCUUAACCUUCGACAACCUGUCACAUCCAACAACCUUAACUCCUUGAGCUCUCCUAUUUCAUCAGGUAAUUCUUCAAUGGAUGAGCAACACUGAAAAACAAGUAUCUUAAGUCUCUGCAGCUUUCUCAACCAAAUGAGGUCCUUGCAUCCACAACUGAUCAACACCAACGAUUGAAGUUUCGUUGAGAGUUCGAGUGAUUGCAAUGACAAACACCCUCCCUCCAGAGACAAAACUUCAAUUUCUCUCAUCCCUUCAAAAAACUUAUCUGGAACAUUCAUACCAUCAUCCAGUUCUAAUAAUAGAACUUUGAGCUUUGGACAUACCAAUCCUUCAGGAAGUUCUGCUAGAUUAUUGCCCAUUAACGAAAUUGUUGUACAACCUCCAAAGCUUUUAUCAUGAAAUGGCCACUCCUUCAACUCAUUGACAGCCUUUACCAUGAAUCCAUAUUCUUCUGAUGAUGCUAUCUGAAUAGCAACAUCACGAACCAAGUCAUGCAUUUUCACGUGU
rnacentral:lncRNA from 1 species